GACACGCUGGCGGCGUGCCUAACACAUGCAAGUCGAACGAAGAAUGUUUUCGGAAUAUUCUUAGUGGCGGACGGGUGAGUAACGCGUGAACAAUCUGCCCCGUACAAAGGGAUAGCCUCGGGAAACCGGGAUUUAAAACCAUAUAACACUUUAACUGCCGCAUGGUAGUGAAGUCAAAUCGAUUAAGAGGUAUGGGAUGAGUUCGCGUCUGAUUAGCUAGUUGGUGAGGUAAGGGCUCACCAAGGCGACGAUCAGUAGCCGGCCUGAGAGGGUGAACGGCCACACUGGAACUGAGACACGGUCCAGACUCCUACGGGAGGCAGCAGUGGGGAAUAUUGCACAAUGGAGGGAACUCUGAUGCAGCGACGCCGCGUGAGUGAAGAAGGUCUUCGGAUCGUAAAACUCUGUCCUUGGUGAAGAAAAGGACGGUAGCCAAGGAGGAAGCCCCGGCUAACUACGUG
rnacentral:rRNA from 1 species